rnacentral:lncRNA from 1 species
UGUUUAAUACAAAAAGUAUUAGCUCUAUACAUUUAGAGACUAAUAUAAAUACCUUUAUACAUUUAGGCACUAUAUAGUGGUUUUCCAUCACAUGAAGCCACUUAAUAAGUUCUUAUCAAAAUAAGAAAGUUUAAAGACAAUCUUUAAUGCCUAACAAACUUCCUAAGUAGUGAGCAAAAAACAUAGUGGCCGAACCCUUCACCACAUUUUCUUUGCUUGUUCUUCUUCUACUUGGCUUCUCCACCUAUAUACAAUUAUACAAGUGAUUAGCUCUUUAUAUCAAAUA